CAAUAGCGUAUAUUAAAGUUGUUGCAGUUAAAAAGCUCGUAGUUGGACCUUGGACCUGGACAGGCGGUCCGCCUCACGGCGUGUACUGUCUUGCUGGGUCUUUCCUCUUGGUGAUCUGUUGUUUCGGCAGCAGGGAACCAGGACUUUUACUUUGAAAAAAUUAGAGUGUUCAAAGCAGGCUCGACGCCGGAAUAUAUUAGCAUGGAAUAAUAAAAUAGGACGUGCGGUUCUAUUUUGUUGGUUUUUGGAAUCGCCGUAAUGAUUAAUAGGGACAGUCGGGGGCAUUAGUACUCACAUGCUAGAGGUGAAAUUCUUGGAUUUUGUGAAGACUAACUUCUGCGAAAGCAUUUGCCAAGGAUGUCUUCAUUAA
rnacentral:rRNA from 1 species